rnacentral:lncRNA from 10 species
ACCUUUCAUUUUCUCAGCUUGUUCAUUCAGGCGGAUUUCAAGAUCUUGCUUCUGUUUCUCCAAUUCUGAAAUUUGCUGUUUAAAGUCUGGGAUCAUCUUUAGAGAAGAAUUAGAAAUAUUAGAAUAUAAAAUACUUUUAUCUAUGAACUUUAAAAUCUUAGAAGCAAACUGAACUAUCUUGGUGUUCAGCCUGCAGAACAGAUAGCUGUGUAAAAGAGCUAGCCACGACAUUAGACUGGAUUAACAUUUUUUUUUAACCUCAAAACCUAUAUAGUCUCAGGAAACACCAGUAUGCUCAGAGGAAGCAGUUCUCACACAGCUACGACAGGGAGAGAAGGAUGUGUACAUGUAUAGAAAUCCUAUGCUGAGUUGAGGGAGGAAUUAGGUGAAGAAAUGGCAGCCAGCGUCUUUGGUCCAAGCCCAGAGCCAUCGUCUCCUCAUCUAGGAACAGGAAAAGCCAUCUCAAAGGGUCCCACUGCUACUUUUGAAUUCAAGGACAUGCACUGCUCUGUUAGUGGAGGUCUGGAAUCACCCGUUACCCUGAGUAUUUAAGGGCUCCAGCCCCUGUUUCUACAGAGA